rnacentral:rRNA from 1 species
AUUGAACGCUGGCGGCAUGCUUUACACAUGCAAGUCGAACGGUAACAGGGAGCUUGCUCCGCUGACGAGUGGCGAACGGGUGAGUAAUGCAUCGGAACGUACCCAGUCGUGGGGGAUAACGUAGCGAAAGUUACGCUAAUACCGCAUACGUCCUGAGGGAGAAAGCGGGGGACCGUAAGGCCUCGCGCGAUUGGAGCGGCCGAUGUCGGAUUAGCUAGUUGGUAGGGUAAAGGCCUACCAAGGCGACGAUCCGUAGCGGGUCUGAGAGGAUGAUCCGCCACACUGGGACUGAGACACGGCCCAGACUCCUACGGGAGGCAGCAGUGGGGAAUUUUGGACAAUGGGCGAAAGCCUGAUCCAGCCAUGCCGCGUGAGUGAAGAAGGC